rnacentral:rRNA from 1 species
AACCCCCGACCUUAGUUGCCAGCAUUCAGUUGGGCACUCUAAGGUGACUGCCGGCUAAAAGUCGAGGAAGGUGGGGAUGACGUCAAAUCAUUAUGCCCCUUAUGACCUGGGCUACACACGUGCUACAAUGGGCGGUACAAAGGGUCGCGAACCCGCGAGGGGGAGCCAAUCCCAAAAAGCCGCUCUCAGUUCGGAUUGCAGGCUGCAACUCGCCUGCAUGAAGCCGGAAUCGCUAGUAAUCGCGGAUCAGCAUGCCGCGGUGAAUACGUUCCCGGGCUUU